UGGGCUCGCUACACCCAGAUAGAUCUACCGCUCCUGUCCCUCGGUCCUCAACGAGGAUUAAUGGCCUCAAGUUUCUGCCUACCCACUCACAUGAUCUAAGUAAUAACCCUCCUUAUGCUAACCAUACCAUGUAUAACAUAUCCAUAAUCAUUGUAACAUGUAUUUCACCCCCGCAGUUUAUAAAACUGAAAACAGUUAAGAGAAAAAGGGGGACAUGAACUCACAGUGAAUGCGUCACAAUAUCAAAUAGUCCAAAUAUCCAGGUGCUGCGCAACGACCUACAUGUGCUAAUUUUAUUAGACGGAUGGCCGUGCUUUAGCUUCAUAGUUUAUAUUUUUGGGAAACAGUUAGACAACCGUUCCGUGUAUAUAUUUGAUACGCAUUCUCCUUCCCAAGGAUGGGGGAUUUAAAUACAUGUGUAUUUAUAUCAUUUUAUUAAGUCCCACUUAAUAUAUUUUAUUUCUUAUUCCAAAAUACAUUUAUUUUUCUCAAAAACAAUAUAUUUCCUUAUAAUACUUUCCCAAAAUAAUAUUUUGACAACACAUGCGCUUAUGAAUAUUUCCGAAUAAAGCGUAAGUUACGUUUUAACGAUUAAGUGGUAAUGAUAAUCACCGUUGUAACUUAUAUUCUUGACGUACAAGCGUUUGUAUUAUUUCGGGCUUGCCAAAGUUAGUAAAUAUUAUUUUUACUCUAAAAAUAAUAUUUAUACAUUUUCACAAAAUAAUCAUAAACAGUGAGGUGGCAAAAUAUAUUUACCGAAUAUAUACUUAUCUCGUUUAUUUUUGUGAAAAUCCCACCUCCGAUUAUUUAUAAAUAAAGUUGUGGCGAAAUAUUUUUGAAAACAUGUCAAAGUAGUCUAACACUUGUAAAUAAUUCUAAGUGUUAGAUUUUUAGAAAAUUUCGCCAGAGUCUCCCCUGUAACUGGAGGUGGCCACGCUUUCAAGCGUAUCAUUUUCUUUUACAAAAUCAUCUCAACAAUUUAUCAAAUCAACCGAAUCAAUCUUUAAUACUUCAAAUAGAAGAUUAGUUAGUAAAAUUGCAUCGUUUUCAUGAACUUGUAGUUUUUACAAAAACUACGGUGUAGAUCUCGUUACAUUUAGUGGAUCUAUAUAUAACAUAACUUAGUCUUGCAAAAACCCCGUUUUUGGAACAACUUACUUCUUACAACUUCCCGACAAUUUUUGUGAAAAUUGUUAUUUUGUCGGAUCUUUCAUUCUACAAGUGUUUCUAUACUUGUAGUUUAUAAAAAUCAUAUUUGUUAACACUUUAUCCACUUUUAUAAAAACAUGAUUUUCUCGACACCCGGUCCUACGAAUAUACCACUUGUACAUACGUAGAUCGGCUUGUUUUAAAUACUAUUUUUCAUGUUAAAACACUUUUAUACAAGUUCAUGUUUCUCGUAUGGUGGAGUUUCACCUUUUAACCCUUGAACCGCUGGCAUCUAGUGCAUGUCAAGAUUCGGGAUCUUAACAAAGUCGGGUUAAACGAUGAUAAGAGCCACCAUAUCAUAGAUCGGGCCAUUUUAACCAACAUAUUCAAAUACUACGACAUUUACACGCGUUUUGAGCUUUUAUCCAACGAUAUUCCCGUUUUAGUAAACUUUAAAGUUUCUUUUAGCGGGUUACCGACAUUCAACCGACAAAUAUCCUUUUAACCACUUUAGACAUGACCAAAAAUGAGUUUUAAACGUUAUACCUCUAGCUCGGGGCUAGGGAAGAAACUAGUCGAAAACUGCGUGGAUAAUAGCAAACGGUAGAGGUCCUUCGCGUUCCGUUUGUUCCGAGCUCCGUUGUACGUAACCACCAACACUUGAGUAUACUUGGAACUUGCAAGACUCGAACCGACAAUGGAUGUGGGGGUGGGGUGGCUCACGGCCGAGAGGAGCAAGGGGAGAGGGAGAGAGAGUGAGGUGAAGUGUGUGUGUGUUUGUGUGUGAGAGGUGAGGGUUUUUAUAGAAAAAAUGUGCCUCGUUCUUCGCGUAAUCUAAUUUAAUAUUAUAAAGGACGUACUCUCCCGGGGCCCACUAGUUGGCCGAUCCCAUUGGGAUGUAAUGGUACUCGGUUCGUUUCCAAUCGUUUAGUUACGGUUCAGUUUGGUUAAGUGCGUUAACUUUAAGGUCUAACCCCGUUAGUUGUUUUAGUGCAUUAGAAGCGGGUGUUAGGGUAAUCAGGGACCCUAACUGGCUCAGAAAAGUACCAAUAUUAAUUUUGGCAAUAUUUUUAUGUUCCGGGUAUUGUCCGGUUGUUCGGUUGGAUAGUAAUCCGUUAAAGUGCUUAAGAUAUCCGUUAAGCGUCAUAAAUAAUAUUUUUAGCGACACAAUUUAUUCUGCAAAGUGUCGGGAAUAAUUCCUCAUAUUUUGGCACUUUAUUAAUUAACUAGAAGCUAGUGUGUUGAUAAAAGUGCUGUGUUUCGUGCUUAAAGUAUGUUUUAGGCACAUCCAAAUCUCUAUAUCUUAUUCCUAGAGACGUAAUCAUACAACCCUUGUAUUCCUACACACACUCUGGGUGUAGUAAAAAUAUUCUGGCUCAUUCAGGCCUUUAGAGGCAGUGUUUGCCUGAUGCUGGCUAUACCAGCAUGUUCACUGUUAAAUAAGUAGUGUAGUGACAGGAAUAUCAAAGUAUGAUGCAGAUAUGUACAAGUAUCAACAAUCAAGUAGCAGUUUAUCAGCAAACUCAGUAAAGCACAGUGAUUAGGCAAUAAUUAAUAAUUAAUUAAGUCGUACGGAUACCUGGUUUUGAGAGGGUUGUC
rnacentral:lncRNA from 1 species